UUUAUACAAAUCCGUAAAAGCCCAAAUCACUGAUACCACUAUUAAUCACAACAUGGUUUCAUUUCUUUCACUCUUGUGAAAAUGUUAAUUUCUCUAUUGCUCAGAAGCUUAUGAGUGAGACCAUCGUUUCCUCUACAGUAAUGUUGUUGUAAGAGUGUAUGUUCAGUGAAGUAAUAUAUUAUACUAGUAUCCAUUUGUUAAAUGUCGAUGGUACAUAGGUACCUACUACUUAUUAACCAUUAACAUUUCAAACAAAACCAUGUUACUGGGAUUUGUUGUCACUAUCUCGCAAGCCAACAGUCUAUGUAUUAACUAUUUGCGCUGAGCACAUAAGCCAUACGUUUGAAGUAUAAUGAUUAUUUUUCGUUGAGUUUUCAAAAAUAAUUAGGCACAUACACGCAAGGUGUACAGAAUAGAAAUGUAUAAUAGUAGACAUCUAAGACGCUACAACGGUUAUCGAAAUGUAAGCGGAUACUGAAUCCGUGUUGUAAUUAAUCUUGACGAAAGGCGGUGUUUACGUGUUUCUGUAAAACUAGGUUUUACGCGUAUUUUGCGUAUGAAGUUUAUUGAUUUGAAUGUAAUUGAUAUACUACCGUGCUCAACUGAGUAACGUACAUUAAUUGUUAAGGAAAAAUAAUUACGUUUCUUAGAAAUACUAAACCAGUUCAAAUAUGGUAAUGAAAUGCAUUAUUCAUAAUUAGUAUAGCUAAUGCUUGUAGAAUAUAAUAUUUAUUGAUGUUGAAAUAAUAUUAUAAUAUAAUUUGAAUAUAUGUGUUGACCCGUUUGAUGGGUUUUCCGUUCCUAUAUAAUAUAGAUUAUAAUAAUAUGUAUACAUACCUAGCAUUGGUACUUGUCAGUUACCACCACGAAUAUAGGAAUAUAUAUUAUCUAGUCCAUGGUUGCCUUUACUACAUUUCACCCCUCUAUUUCGCUGUCAUGUAUAGACGUAUAGUUGGUAAAUAAAUAUAUUUUAAACUUUAAACAUAGAGAGAGAGAGAGAGAGAGAGAGAGAAAGACUGUGCUACAUUGGCUUUAAUAAGAGACCUAAUUAUUUUUACGAUUAAACCGUAUGCUUAUUACUUAAAUUAAAAAUAAUCUCAUUAUUCAGUCGUUACUCAACAUAGUAAAAAUGUAAUAUAUUAUAGUUUUAGAAAUGUACCACGUACGUACAAACAUUCACUUUUUACUCUAAAUGAUUUAUAAAAAUGUCACUUAAAAUUAAAUCUAGAUUAGCGAAAUAGUAUUGAAAAUCCAGGAAUGGCGACACAAAUUUGACUUAAAUAUAUACUUCUUACAACUUGCUGUCGAAUGCGGAAAAGCAGAGUAUCGAAUUCUGCGGCUCAAACGAUUUUUAUUCGGCCGGCAGGCAUCAAAGUGGGAAUCCCGCUACGCAGUGGUCGGAAAAGUGGAAAUACCAUGCAGCUAGGCACGCAAUGUUUGGCAACGUUACCGUCAAAAUCAAAUUAAUUCGUAUUACCCAACAUACGUCACACGCAUGUUUUUUUGUUGGCUCCACGAUCGUCUUACGAGUGUAAUGUUGAAGAUGUAUUUGUAUUCUUAUUAAAAAUGUAUACUGUCGACGACUGUUACUGCUGGAUAGCUACUCAUCUCGAGCAUUUAUUGCCUAUUUUUAGGCGCAUAUGAUUAUUGUUAACAUUUUACAGAUUGUAUGUAUUCAAAUAAAUGUUAAAAGAAAAAAUGAUCUAGGUACAAUUAAAUAUCCUAUUAUCCCAUUAUCAAAUUAUUCUAUAUUCGAAUUUAAAUUGUACAACAUUAUCCGUGUUCUUUUAGGCCGGGCGCACAUCAAUGCAGUUAAAAAAGACUGCCUCGACCUCUUGUAUGCAGUAAUAACCUUCGUAUUUCUCAGGUGUGCGAAAGGGGUGGGCAGGUUAUUGCUGUGGAUAUGAAGUGUGUUGAACUGUCAUGGCACUUGUUUUUCCCCGCAUUGGUGUACGCUCGGUUUUAAAAGUUUUUUCCUGUAUUUUAAUUUUGAAGUGAUGUAAAAUAUUACAAUUUUAAAAUGUUUAUAACUCACUUAAUAAUAAUUGAAAUAUCAAAAAAAAAAACCA